UCACGGGUCUGUGUACAGUGGCGGCCCGGCUGUCCUCAGCUGCAUCGCCCGGCGAGGGUGGCGCGGCGUUCCCCGGUCGCGCGACCGGCGACAAAGACGACCCACAGUGGACGAUCCAGCGGCAGAGUCGCCGCUUCCGCUUCGCUGCUUCUCCGGUCACCGGCGACGCGGGCCCGGGGCUUCCUUUUCAUCGGCCCAGCUUAUUCCGCGGGCCCCGGGGCUGCAGCUACCCAGAAGCGGCGAAGAGGCCCUGGGCUGCGCGCCCGCUGUCCCAUGUGAAGCAGGUUGGGCCUGGUCCCCGGCCCGUGCCCGGUUGUCUGCUGCGGCCCUUCAGGCCUCAGGGACCCCCGCGAGGCGCUGCUCCUGGGGGGCGCGGUGACAGGCCGUGCGGGGGCGGAGGGGCCAGCUCGGUGGCCUCCUCUCGGCCCUCGGCUCCGCGAUCCCCGCCCAGCGGCCGGUAAGUGCUUCUGGUUCUGCGUGCGACUGGGCCCUUGGACGGGAAUUCCGCUGCAGGGGGUGGGGGUAUGGGGAGUAGGGGUAGCCCUGCUAGGCUAGGGUUGACCCCAGAACCCCCAGGUCAGCGCGACGUGGGCUGGGAAACUGUUUUAGACUCGUACUCCGCGGGAAUUUUAUUCUAACCAGAAGGUUGCAAGUAGCUAGUCGAAGGGAAGCAGAGACCGAUGUGCGCUAAACCAAAAAAAGUGCUUGUCUUUGGGUUGUCGGAAUGGCAGGCUAUUGAUGGAGGUUGAUUCCCUUUACCUUGGAGCGGUCGGCCAGCCCUCCGUGUGCAUAGAGUAGAGCCCUACUUUGCUCUCUCUACUUGUAUAUCGACUCAUCUCACUUUCCCAGCCCUGCGAUUAUGCAUUCUACCAGCUUUAAAAAUGAAAAAUCAAGGCUCAGUGAGAUAAAGGUAUAACUUCCCAAGGUCAUGCAAGUGGUUAUCGAGGAAGCAGAUAUGUUUCUGUAGGGUCUUCGUUUCUCCGUCCUGCAAAAGUUAAGUGCCGUAGGGAAAGGAGAUUGGUUGAAGAGUUUGUCCCUGCUUGUACCUGGCGAGAUAGCGUUUACACUUUUUUGACUUAAGUUGCUGGAUAUAUAUUUUGUUGCAGCUUGCCUUCAGUCAUUUUAGUCUUUAAAGACAUUACUUGUGGAAAAAGUGGUUCUGUGCAUCCUUUUAUGUACGGAAAACAAUUUGCCAUCUUACCGAAAAGAAGAAAUAUACUUGAUAAAACUGCACAUUUCUUGAGGCGAUGUUUUACUUUUGCGCGUUGUUGUUGGUGUGUAUAGAAACUCACAGUUAGGUUAUUUCCUUUGCUUGAGAAUUCCUUAUUGCAAACUUUUGCUGGAUUGUGUGGCAAUCUCAGUAUUCUGAGAUUCUUUGCAUUGUCUUAAGUAGUAUCUCAGGGUUUCAUUUAAAGUCAGUGUGUAAAAUAUCACAGAAAGUUAUCAUUUGUUGGCAUGAUUUAUGUAUCUAUGCAAAAUGCUACUAAUUAUACUUUGCUCUCUAUACUCUCUAACUACUAAUUAGUUAACAAGCUGACAGAAAAUUUGCAUUUUAGUACCACACUGUACUGUUUGGUUCGUGAGUAAGCAGAGCUGGACCUCUUUACAGAAGAAAACGCUGGUAAAUGCCUUUGAAGUAACUGAAGCUUCAUGUAACUGCAGAUGCUCAAUUAUAAUACUCAAAUUUCAUUAGUGUAUUACACCUUGAAGAAAACUUGCAGUUGACUUUGUAAUAAUGUGUAGGGAAGAGGUCACCUUUACAGAGUUAACAGGUGAGUGGCUCACAGACUGGCUUGCUUGGUUAGAGUACAGACAUUUGUUGAAGUAGGCUCAAUUUGGUAUUAUUGUAGAAUGGUUGUCUAGUCAUGCUCUCAGGGUGUCUCCUUAGAAAGACUAGCUGUCAAGAGCUUAUCUUAAAUAAUGAUGUAUUAAGAUGGAAUCUUUUCCGUGGUGUUUUAGGUGGAGUGGUGUUCCUCAGCUGACUGCUGCCAAGGGGACAGUCUUACAUUAGUAGAUGCUGCAUUGCUUAGUGUGCGUCUGCGUUUGCUUGUUUCUCCCUUUUGGAAAACUGGAGCUCUCUAGGUCUCUACAACGUUUUAUCAUGAAAGCAAUUUAAGCAUAAAGAAAAUCUAUCAGUAGUAAACAGCCAUAUGGUGACCUCUCCACUCAACAUUUGUUGAUAACUUGCUGUACACAAUGUAUAUUAGUUUUGGUUGAACCGUUUGAAACUAAACUGUUGACAUCAUGACACAUUACCCCUGUUGUGUCAGCUUGCUUUGCCUAAAGACAAGGGUACUGUUAUUGUUUAUUUUCUUCAACAUGAUAAAUCCUUAGUUUAACUAAAACAAAACAACACAAAAUCCUUAUGUGUAUGUGUGCAUGACUAGUGCCUGCGGAGGUCAAAGAGGGCAUCCGAUCUAGAAAUAACAUUGCAGGUAGUUGUAAACUACCAGAUGGGGGCCGAACCGAAUCAGCAUCCUGUGCAAGGCAGCCCGUGCUGGUGCUCCUUCUUAACUGAUGAGCGACACUUCCAGUCCUUCCUCACUGCAGUCUAAUAGCACACGUAUUUACAUCUCUCAAAUUGUCCUGAGAAGUGUUUGAGAGCAUUGUAUACAGCCUUUCUUACCCAAACCCGAUCUCAUCAGAGUUUAUUCCUUUUGAGUUUCUUCUAAUUUAGACUACCCAAACCCUCCUUGUAAAAUAACAGAGACCAAGAGUUCAGUUAUCUUAGAAAAUGACUCACAUUUUGCAUUUGUCACACAUUUUCCUUCCAGUGAAGGCAGCUAGUGGGUCUUUUCUCUCCCCUACUUAAACUAACUGUUGAUUGUAAACAAGAAUAUCUGAUAAAUUAGACUUAGUAUUGCUUCCCAUUUUGAAGUUCACACUGUCUAGUUCCUUUACUUCUUGAUGCUGUUGAUCAUGUGGUUGAGGGAAUUAUAGUAAGACCUGUUGCUUCCUACAGUUAGCAAGAUAUCUGUUGGGGGAUGGUGGUACAUUCCUUUCAUCCCAGCACCUGGGAGAGGGGCAGGUGGAUCUCUUUGAGUUUGAGGCUAGCUUGGUUUCCAUAGAAGUUCCAGGACAGUCAGGGCUAAAUAGAGAAGCCCGUUUUCCUUAAAAAGAAAAAAGAAAAGAAGAUGC
rnacentral:lncRNA from 1 species